CUCAAAAGGCAAAAGUAACUGUGAACAAAAAGUCUUAACGUCUACCUCCUUCUACCCAAAAGCAUUUCCGUUUCCUCUGAUGGAAGGUAGAUUCACUCAUUGGGAAAAGAUAUGAAUGACCUCUAAAUCAGCAGAUUUAACAAGUGCAUGCUCACACCUGAACUGCUUUCAGAGUGCCGGGAUUAGAGGUGCGCACCACCACAUCCUGCUACCUCUACAAUGCUGACUGACUGACUGGCACCUCCAGCAGGUAUGCAGGUAUCAGCCAUUUAAGUUUCCUGUGAGUUUGGAUCUUUACCUAGAAAAAAUAUAUACUUGGAAAUGCUUACACAAAAUUUAAAAGACAUACUGAAAAAGGAAAGAG
rnacentral:lncRNA from 1 species